rnacentral:rRNA from 1 species
UACAGAGGUCCCAAGCGUUGUUCGGAUUCACUGGGCGUAAAGGGUGCGUAGGUGGUGGGGUAAGUCGGAUGUGAAAUCUCCGAGCUCAACUCGGAAACUGCAUUGGAAACUACCCUGCUAGAGGGUCGGAGGGGGGACUGGAAUACUUGGUGUAGCAGUGAAAUGCGUAGAUAUCAAGUGGAACACCAGUGGCGAAGGCGAGUCCCUGGACGACUCCUGACACUGAGGCACGAAAGCUAGGGUAGCAAACGGG